AGUAAGGCAGGCCAUGUAGCACGGCCAAGCUAGCCAUGCCAUAGACAGAGGAGCAGUGGAGGCUUCAAACAAGCGCUGCAUGUAAUAUGGAUGAGAGCCUACUCGCACACACACUCCCUCUUUCUUACUCUCACAUGACCCUCCCAAUCUAAAUUAUCCGUAAGUGUGAAUGUUUGUGUGAAGAGUUGUUUGUCUGUGCAAGUGAGGGUGAUCGGUUCAGAAAAUAAGACAAACAUAAAACAGAGGAUUGCACAUUGUGUCUUUAAAGCCAACCACAUAGCUGCCGCUACCUGAAUGCUAACGUACAUUAUGGGAAACUAUGCUAUAGCUGCACCGGCUGAUAAUUAGCAUCCACGCGGCUGCAACAUAUGGAGAGAGACCGUCCAUCCGCAUUUGCUUUAUCCUCUGUGAAGAACGACUAUUACUACCAAGGGAGGACCUGACUGUCUGUUUUUCUCGGGCUUUUUAUUGCAAGUACGUGCUAUCGAGUGGCUUGGGCGGUUGUCUCCAUUUUGUGGAGUGAACUGCUUUCACUGUGCUGGCUCGCCGUCUGCUUAGCAACAUUGCUCUCUCACGCUGUCUUUCUCUCUUCUCUCCGGGCUCUCUCUUGUUCCGUCCUCUCUGAGUUUUUUUUUUUUUUUGCUUCUAUUUUAAGUGUCCUCUGGCAGUGAAAGUCUCCAGACUCUUACGUCCACAUUGGCCCAGAUGACGAGUACAGUCAUAGACAAGACAAGAGCCCACUGGCCUCAUUCUCUCUCCACGUCCUCUUUCAUGAAGUGUGCCUGGCUGUCUGUCUUUGGACUGCGUCAUCCUACUCUUGUUUGAUGGCUCUUUGCAUCGGGAUGUGUGCGUGCGUGUGUGUGUGCGCAGGUGAGUCCCUGUAACCGGGGCGACACCAGGAAAGCAAAAUCUUAGCUGCUGACGAUCAUUUCGUUGAAUAUCAUGGACCGACUUCUUAAUGAUCGAUUACAAAUGAAGUUCAUAAAAUUAGUUCAAAGGCCCAAUAAAGCAAAGCAACAGAUAGACCUUCUUGUCACAAUGCUCCCCAGUUAGUAAUGUUGUGAUAUAAAUUCCUAUCAAUCAAUCAGUGCUGAGUAUAAUGUCAAAGAAUUUGUCUGAAUCAUUCGCAGGAAUGACAAACAUCACCCGCCUGCAGCGCUCUGUCGUCUAGACACUCCUCAUAAUUAGGGCAUGUUGUCAUCAUUAUCAUUAUUUUAAUUAUUACGAAUGUCUUAAUGGCAUAAUUCCUCAUCUGAUCAUGCCACAGCUGCAAAGUGAGACAUGACCUAACGCUUCCUGUUUGUCAUUUUAUAAGGAAAUAAGUGAAUGGCUGCUUUCUUUCCACGCCUUCCUUCUUUGCGUUCUGUCAACAGGGCCACGCCAAGUUAAUUAAAAUACUACCAAAAAAAAGGCGUAGAAUUGCAAGAAUAUGCUGUCAACAUUUUUCCGCCAACAAAGUCGUCAUGAGGAAAAAUCGUAGUACGUAUUACAAGAAAAGUUAUGUUAUUAUAAAGAAGGCGGGAUUUGACUGUGAGAAAGGGAGGAUGGGAGAAAAAUUGAUCGAGGCCGUUUUUUUUCUUUAUGCGACAGAUCAUAGGAAAAUAAAAAUCAAAGUGCCGCUGUAAAGCCAAGAGCAGCGAGACAUUGCGCACUGUUCCUCAGGCACCCGCAAGUUAUAGCAAGGAUGUAAUGUAACAAGGUAAAAAUGGCUACAGUAUGUCUAUGUGGGAGGCAGCCUAUUGAUUCCCCCGAAGGCAAUACGAAAUGUAUAAAAACUAUGAUGCCAUGAUUAUAAUGAAAUAUUGUUAGCUUUCCUUUUGUGAGUUAAAAGCAAAGGCUAUUCUUUGCCCUUGAUUUUAAUGCCGCACCAGUUCCUCUUGGCAACAUUAAAGCUAGUCAGCAUGUCUAUGAUAAGUGGACCAACAUAAAAGUCUGAAGAACCCUCAACGGAAAAGGCGAAGGAAGUCAGCCAUUUUGGUUUGAAGUGUCCAUUUUGAUGAAAAUUAACAUUUCAUAGCAUCGUCUGGGAUGUUUUGCAAAUCCAGUGCCAAUAGCCAGUUUUGCUUAAAGUGCAAUUUGGUAGGCACGUAUUCAUAUAUAUGAGCAGACCCUUAAAAAUGUCUUUAAAAACCCAUGCAGGAAAAAGUCAGGAGGUCUGCCAUUUUGCUUUCAAUCGGCCUUUUCAUUUUCAUUUACAAUUGGUAGCAUUGUCCAGGAAGUUUUGAAAAUUCAGCCCCCAAAGCCAAUUUCCCCAGUGCAAUGUAGUAGACGUGUCUGUCUUGAGGCAACCCGCAAAAAAGUCUCAAGGGCCCAUGCCUGAAAAGACACAGGACGUCAGCCAUUUUGGCCCGAGGCUGCUGUAAGCUUUCAUGUGUUAUUAGAAUUUCCCUUCCCUGGUCCAGACAGCGCCCAUGUGGCGCAAAAUUGUGCCAGCGGGCCUGAAGCCAGAGCUAAUCGGGCGGGAAUGAAACACUCCUUAUCCGUGUGUGUGUGUUGGGUGCGUUCACAGACAUCAAGUCGCAUGACAUCAGUCUCACCUGUCUGCUGUCUCCAUUUGCUUCCUGUUUGUCCACCUGUUCCGACUUUUCCCUCACAUGCCUUUUAUUUUUUCAGUGCUCCCUUCAAUAUUACGUCCGUCCUCUCAACUUGUAGGUCCAACAGAAAUCAUAGUUCAAUUCCCUUUCAUAUUCUAACGAGGUCCCCCAACAUCUUAUUUUCCACCCCAAAAAAGUGUAUUCUUUUAAAUGCCUCACUUUAUUACAGGCUUCCCUCAUGGGCUCUUAUUGAUUUGGCUGCUAAAACAAAGUGCUGCUCCCAGUCCAUGGCUAAGUGGCUUAUUGGAUUAAGACCUCGUGCGUGCAUGCGUGCGUGCGUGUGUGUGUGUGCAUGUGUGUGUGUGGGAGGAACAGGUGGGACCAUCAUGUGUAAAGCAGACAGUUGUGAGCUUUUUGUGUCUCCGGGUUUGGGACCAAUAAACUGAUAUUACCAAAUAUCCAUUCAUGAAGGAGAAAGAUUUUUCAGCCAAAUGCAUCCAGUCGUUCUUGAGAAAUACUGGUGAAAUCAUUGAAAUCUUUUAGGGGUCCUGUUACUAUGGCAACUGAGGCUGAUAUUCUGUUUUUUUUUUUAAAUGUAUUCAAAUUAUCUGGAAAAAGUUAUACAGUUUUAUUCUUUUCCAUUGGAAGGUAUUAUUUUUGCCAGUAUAAUAGGCAUUAUUGUUAUUAAUUGUUUAGUAUUAUUAUCGAUGUAACAGUCAGUUGUCAAAAUAUACAACAUAUUCGUAUCGUUUACAGCACAAACCAUUUCGCAUUGUCGUGCUUGAUUUAUUUUGAACAGCCGGCAACGGGCAGGCAACUUUGCAUUGCUGGCGACUAACUGAUGCAACGCUUUUUAAAAUGGUCCACGUGUACAGGAUCGGUUAGGUAAAAAAAAAAAAGAAGCUCCUUCCGCGCAUUACGCCGCCGAGCAUCUCAGACAGGAAGCGUGUAUUUCGACAGCUUGGCGUCUGACGCGGCCCGCCGGACUGCGGCAGGAUGUGGUGAAAGCAGACAGGGCGUGACCACGGCUCUGCGGGCCACUCUUCCAGCAAAAGUGCACCCAAAUAAAAGUUGACUUCCUUUUUCUGACAAGACGCUUCAAAAAAAGAAAAAAAAAUGUCUGCUGCACUGACCUCCUCCUGAGUGCAAAGCACACGAAUGGGCUCUCAGGGCCAAGAGGGAGAGACACGUGUUGAGUUUCAUUGAGUGACGUGAAAUUUCAUUCGUCAUCAAAUGAUAAAAAAAAACAAAAUUUGGUGUCUGUCAUGAGUAGACCCACAAAAAAUGUCGAGUACAUGCUUGAAAUGCCACUGGUCUGUCAGUCCUUUUGAUGAAAAUUCUUCACUUCUAUAGUCAUGUGGCGAUCUUCGCAGGUGAACCACUAAAGAUCUACAGUACAUGUCCGCCUCCUGAGAUGAAAGUUCCAACUGAAGGCACAUUUUUUUCCUUUUAUUGUAGCUGACUGAGAUAAGAUAUUUACGAGCACGGUUUUACCAGCCCGUUACUCUUUCAUUUGACCCCCCCAUCCAUAUAUACAUAUUUACGACAUAACACUUGCAACCUGCUGCGCACCCACAUAUCACUCACAGCUAUAAAAAUGUGUAUCCAAACGGCUUCUUAAUCACCGUUUAAGUUCCAGUUAGUUACAAUGUGUGGCGGUUUGGACGCGUGAUUCAUUUGUAAUUGACCAACAGCUGUCCUCCUCUGCAUACUUCCUUUCCACGUCACUGCUCUUUGUAUGUAUCUUAUAUAUACCGAGUGUAUUCUAUACAUACAUUACACAUUCAGCAGGAAGACUGUAUGGGUAUGGAUCCACGUGGAACUUGACCUUGGUUCAUGUGUGCUUGUCUGUGUAGGUGGGGCGGGUGACCCCAGGAUCAUGUUCAUUUGGAUAUAAUGUCAUGCAGAAGUGUACUUUUUAUCAUUUUAUUGACAAAUUGUAGUAUUUUGAGUCACAGAGGGGAUGUCAUAUUUUCAUAACAGAAAAUAAUUGCAAAGUACUGGGCAACACAAGCAUCUUUCUGCUCCAAUAAAGUUGUCCGCUGCGGGAGCGUCACGUGUACUAAUGGUCUGGGGAAUAUGCCGAGGCUGCGGAAAUGGGUCACCGUGAAUGUCUGUCUAGGGCAGUAUGUUUCAUUGUGUGUGUGUGUACAUGCCCGUAUGUGUAGACGCGUGUUCAUGUGUGCGGGCGCAGCUGGUGAUUAGGAACAACAGGGCAGAGGUCAGCCAAGCGACUGUGCGGAAUGCUAAUCCGCAUUGUCACAAGGCGAGGUUUGGCCUCGCAAAAGGGCUGGAGACGUGCGUGUGCAUGUAUUAGCGGCCUACGUAGGAGACGUGCUACUUGGUGGCAGAUUGACACAACAUGGUGUUUGUUCAUAAAAACAUGGCAGGGGGGAAGGCGGCCGGCGAGAGAGCGACGAGUGAGCCAGUCGUGUUGACGUUUGCGGACACCCUCGUUAAGACCUGCGGGAAUAAUGAGCUGGGUUUGUGCAGUGGGAGUUUGUCUGAGGGUGGGCGUUAAACCGUCAACUGUCAGGUAACGCGGAAUCACGCGAGCAGCCAUUAGCCAAGCGUAGCAACACACACACAUUAGCGCAUGUUUGGGGUCAUUUCUGUGUUAAUAUUUAAGUGAGUGAGACAAAAUGUCGAGGUUGUGGUGAUAGUCUUUGAUUUUGUUUUGUUUUGAUAGGUUUCACUGUUUUCCUUUUUUCGUUACAUAAACAAGUCACAACAUUGUGACUUGUCAAAGCUAAUUUCCUUCCCAUGGCACAGCGCGUUCCGAUUCAUGAACAAAUUCCAUUUAUCCGAAGAACGGAACCCUAAAUUGACAACCAUGACCUUAGAUGCAAAACGAAUCGUUUCGUCUUAAUUUAGUCAAAACAACUUUUUUUUUUUUGCAA